rnacentral:rRNA from 1 species
UACAGAGGUCUCAAGCGUUGUUCGGAUUCAUUGGGCGUAAAGGGUGCGUAGGCGGCGCGGUAAGUCGGGUGUGAAAUCUCGGAGCUUAACUCCGAAACUGCAUUCGAUACUGCCGUGCUUGAGGACUGGAGAGGAGACUGGAAUUUACGGUGUAGCGGUGAAAUGCGUAGAUAUCGUAAGGAAGACCAGUGGCAAAGGCGGGGUCUCUGGACAGUUCCUGACGCUGAGGCACGAAGGUCAGGGGAGCAAACGGG